rnacentral:lncRNA from 1 species
UUUUAUUAGCUAAUCACUAGCAAGUAUUUACACAUCAUUCAUUGUUCAUAUUAUACCAAAAGUAGCUAAGUUUCUAUACAUGCCAUACCCAAAACAAAACGUCUAGUUAUACCGAGUUAUUUCUUUGAUAGUGUGAUCGGCCUCCGACGUUUCCUUCGAUCCCCGAGUGACUAGAUAAGUACUAUAAGAAGAAGAAAAUAAAGAGAUUAAGCACUAGGCUUAGUAAGCUUACAAGCAAAUAAAUCACAACAUUCAACAUAAUGGAUAAUUAUGCAUAAUAUCAUCUAACAUCAUAAAUUUCUUUACUUCUCAAUUUGUAUCUUCUUCUUUAUUCCCUUACCUUCUUUCUUACCUGAGCUUUCCUUUUUCAUAAGUAUAAUCUACUUUUCCUUUGCUGUUAAUUCACUGUAAUUUAACUCGUAUCCUGACCCGUUGAACCACUCGGAAUACUAAGGAUACUAGGGUCGUUCCUGUCUAUCAAUAUCCUGCCAAUGCCAUGUCUUUGACAUGGACUUACAUGAAUUAUUCCUGUCUCCAAUGCCAUAUAUAAUAUGGACUUACAUGGCUCAAUCCUAUCUCCAAAGCCAUAUUUCUAAUAUGGACUUACAUGGCUCAUUUCUGUUCUGUCUUGUCAACUCUAAUAUCCUAACAUUCCUAGGGUUCAACCGGGGCUUUCUAACACUUUUCCUCUGUCACUCCACCUUAAAUUCGACUUUACAUAUUUUCAUAACAUAAGUAUAUAAAUGCUGGAAAUUGACAAUAAUAAUGUAAAAUAAAAGAAUAUUGCAUUUAUUUACUGUAAUUUACCUUGAUACAAAAUGUGACUAAACUUUACAAUUUAGUCCUUUACUUUUUCUUUUCCCCGAUCUACUCCCGAAUUUCGUUCUUCUUGAUCUAUAAUAGCAAAUUUAACUUAUUUAAUAUUCACAUUUAUUAAAACAGUCCUUGACCCAAACUUUUGCAAAAUUAUAUUUUUACCCCUAAACUUUCACAUAUUUGCACUUUUGCCCCAAGGCUCGUAAAUUAAACUUCAUCCUAUUUUCUUAUGUUUUAUGACAUGCUGAUCAUUUUUUCCUUCUAUGGCAAUAUCAAAAUCACACUCUAACAUAUACUUAUGACUAUUGAUAUUUUUUUUCUAAUUUAAGCCAUUUUACUCGUUUUCACUUAAAACCGAGUAGCAUAAGUUGUUUAACAUAAUUUAAAACCUCAUAUUCUAUCAUAAAACACCAAAAUACACAAAUUUCAGCCAUGGGUAUUUUUCUAAAUAUGAACCCUAGGCUGAAUUAUUGCUAGAAUAAGCUUAAUCAAGUUACCAGGACUCCAAAAACGUAAAGAUCAUUAAAAACGGGGCUUGGAAUCACUUACUAUGAAGCUUGAAAGUUGAAGAAACCCCAGCUAUGGAGGAGAGAAAAAAUCGGC